CCUACGAGCGGCUGCAGUGAGGAAUAUUGGUCAAUGGGCGCGAGCCUGAACCCGCCAAGUAGCGUGAAGGAUGACUGCCCUACGGGUUGUAAACUUCUUUUAUAAAGGAAUAAAGUGAGGCACGUGUGCCUUUUUGUAUGUACUUUAUGAAUAAGGAUCGGCUAACUCCGUGCCAGCAGCCGCGGUAAUACGGAGGAUACGAGCGUUAUCCGGAUUUAUUGGGUUUAAAGUGAGCGUAGAUGGGUUGUUAAGUCAGUUGUGAAAGUUUGCGGCUCAACCGUAAAAUUGCAAUUGAUACUGGCAGUCUUGAGUACAGUUGAGGUAGGCGGAAUUCGUGGUGUAGCGGUGAAAUGCUUAGAUAUCACGAAGAACUCCGAUUGCGAAGGCAGCUUACUAAACUGCCACUGACAUUGAUGUUCGAAAGUGUGGGUAUCAAACAGGAUUAGAUACCCGGGUAGUC
rnacentral:rRNA from 1 species